rnacentral:rRNA from 1 species
UACGAAGGGGGCUAGCGUUGCUCGGAAUCACUGGGCGUAAAGGGUGCGUAGGCGGGUUUUUAAGUCAGGGGUGAAAUCCUGGAGCUCAACUCCAGAACUGCCUUUGAUACUGAAGAUCUUGAGUCCGGGAGAGGUGAGUGGAACUGCGAGUGUAGAGGUGAAAUUCGUAGAUAUUCGCAAGAACACCAGUGGCGAAGGCGGCUCACUGGCCCGGUACUGACGCUGAGGCACGAAAGCGUGGGUAGCAAACAGG